AUCUAGGCUCUUGCAUCGAUGAAGAACGUAGCGAAAUGCGAUACUUGGUGUGAAUUGCAGAAUCCCGUGAACCAUCGAGUCUUUGAACGCAAGUUGCGCCCGAUGCCAUUAGGUUGAGGGCACGUCUGCCUGGGUGUCACAUAUCUGAAGCCUCCUGCCAAUUUC
rnacentral:rRNA from 1 species